GAUGAACGCUGGCGGCGUGCCUAAUACAUGCAAGUCGAGCGAACAGACGAGGAGCUUGCUCCUCUGACGUUAGCGGCGGACGGGUGAGUAACACGUGGAUAACCUACCUAUAAGACUGGGAUAACUUCGGGAAACCGGAGCUAAUACCGGAUAAUAUAUUGAACCGCAUGGUUCAAUAGUGAAAGACGGUUUUGCUGUCACUUAUAGACGGAUCCGCGCCGCAUUAGCUAGUUGGUAAGGUAACGGCUUACCAAGGCAACGAUGCGUAGCCGACCUGAGAGGGUGAUCGGCCACACUGGAACUGAGACACGGUCCAGACUCCUACGGGAGGCAGCAGUAGGGAAUCUUCCGCAAUGGGCGAAAGCCUGACGGAGCAACGCCGCGUGAGUGAUGAAGGUCUUCGGAUCGUAAAACUCUGUUAUUAGGGAAGAACAAAUGUGUAAGUAACUAUGCACGUCUUGACGGUACCUAAUCAGAAAGCCACGGCUAACUACGU
rnacentral:rRNA from 1 species